GAUGAACGCUGGCGGUCUGCUUAACACAUGCAAGUCGAACGGAAUCCUUAGGGAUUUAGUGGCGGACGGGUGAGUAACACGUAAGAACCUGCCUCUAGGACGGGGACAACAGUUGGAAACGACUGCUAAACCCGGAUGAGCCGAAAGGUAAAAGAUUUAUCGCCUAGAGAGGGGCUUGCGUCUGAUUAGCUAGUUGGUAAGGUAAAGGCUUACCAAGGCGACGAUCAGUAGCUGGUCUGAGAGGAUGAUCAGCCACACUGGGACUGAGACACGGCCCAGACUCCUACGGGAGGCAGCAGUGGGGAAUUUUCCGCAAUGGGCGAAAGCCUGACGGAGCAAGACCGCGUGGGGGAGGAAGGUUCUUGGAUUGUCAACCCCUUUUCUCAGGGAAGAACGCAAUGACGGUACCUGAGGAAAAAGCAUCGGCUAACUCCGUGCCAGCCGCCGCCGUAACAC
rnacentral:rRNA from 1 species